rnacentral:lncRNA from 1 species
GAUCGUGGUGACGGUGGUGGUGCCAGGGAUGGGGCUCAUGGUGGUGAUCUUGAGCAUGACACUGGUGGUGAUGGCAAUGAUGAUGACAGUGAUGUCUGUGAUGCAUCCUUCAUGCGCUCCUGUCCUUGGAAACCACCCUCCAGUCAUCCCUCCUGUAGGAUAGGGAUGUCAAAAACUCAGCCGAUGUUCUUUCCAAAUGCAACGUGCUCCCUUACAUUUGGUGAAGCUUUUGCGGUGAGGAAAAUGAAGCCCUAAGAGCAAGCUCAGCCUCACGAGGGACAGCUGCUGACACUCACUCUGGGAGCGGCGGCCCAGGGAGCUGGGAAGGAGAGUUUGCGCUUCUUUGGAAGCACCGCCCAUAUACAUAAAAACCUGGUGUUUGCUCAUCGGAAGCUGGAGGCAGCGCAAACAUAAAAUGAAAAGCAGACAAGAUGGACGGAGAGGGAAUGGAAUCCAAAGGUGCCCGGCCCUGCCCAGUGGGGUCCACAGAGGAGCACAGAGGUAGAGGGAGAGGUUCCCGGACCCAAGGCCCUGG